rnacentral:rRNA from 1 species
UACAGAGGUGGCAAGCGUUAUUCGGAAUUAUUGGGCGUAAAGGGCGCGUAGGUGGCUAGGCAAGUCCUGGGUGAAAUCCCUCGGCUCAACCGAGGAACUGCCUUGGAAACUGCCUGGCUCGAGGCCGGGAGAGGGUAGCGGAAUUCCCAGUGUAGCGGUGAAAUGCGUAGAUACUGGGAGGAACACCAGUGGCGAAGGCGGCUACCUGGACCGGUUCUGACACUGAUGCGCGAAAGCGUGGGGAGCAAACAGG